CCAAAAGCCUCCAAAGUAUACAACAAAAAAAAGGGUUUCCAGAAAGGAAACUAGGUCAAUGUUUUUUUGGUGUUCCUGAUUUGUCAGCUUCCAUAUUUACCAAGUGUGGUUCCACUUAAAGGCUUAUUCUGCACUGGUAGCUCGUGCAGAAAGGCCUACAUCAAAAGAAGGCCGCUGCAGGAAUCCCUGGUGUUUUUUUAGACCAUAAACCCAGGGAAAGUGGUUUGUUGGCCUUUAUGUAACGCAUGCGAUGGAGGUCGAACCAAACCUACGGGUCAAACUAACAAGAGAACAAAAUAUUGGGUGGAAACGCUCUGGACAUUUGUGCCCGGCUGGUUUCCAGCACAGAAUGUAUGUUCGUUCUCAGGAGAAGAAUGCAGUCAGCACCUUCCCGUGCGAACGUUCUGUGUUCGCUCACCUCAAAGAUUACCGCUCGACUGCCGUUAAUUCGGCUGCCUGUGAGUCUACGGCAGGCCUUGGCUGUGAUUGGCCGAAGCCUCGGGCGUGACAGGCCGAGGGCUCGACCGGGAUUGGCUGAGGGCUCGCAGGCGCGUGGUCCUGGCUGCGUCCACUGACCCCUUGUGUUAAGCCUGCUUUGGGAUGCGUUUACACGA